rnacentral:rRNA from 1 species
UACGAAGGGGGCUAGCGUUGCUCGGAAUGACUGGGCGUAAAGGGCGCGUAGGCGGAUGGCACAGUCAGAUGUGAAAUUCCCGGGCUUAACCUGGGGGCUGCAUUUGAUACGUGUUGUCUUGAGUUCGGAAGAGGGUCGUGGAAUUCCCAGUGUAGAGGUGAAAUUCGUAGAUAUUGGGAAGAACACCGGUGGCGAAGGCGGCGACCUGGCCCGACACUGACGCUGAGGCGCGAAAGCGUGGGGAGCAAACAGG